rnacentral:rRNA from 1 species
GACGAACGCUGGCGGCGUGCUUAACACAUGCAAGUCGAACGUGAUUUUUGUGGAAAUUCUUUCGGGAAUGGAAAUGAAAUGAAAGUGGCGAACGGGUGAGUAACACGUGAGCAACCUACCUUACACAGGGGGAUAGCCGUUGGAAACGACGAUUAAUACCGCAUGAGACCACAGAAUCGCAUGAUAUAGGGGUCAAAGAUUUAUCGGUGUAAGAAGGGCUCGCGUCUGAUUAGCUAGUUGGAAGGGUAAAGGCCUACCAAGGCGACGAUCAGUAGCCGGUCUGGGAGGAUGAACGGCCACAUUGGAACUGAGACACGGUCCAAACUCCUACGGGAGGCAGCAGUGGGGAAUAUUGCACAAUGGGGGGAACCCUGAUGCAGCGACGCCGCGUGAGCGAAGAAGGUUUUCGAAUCGUAAAGCUCUGUCCUAUGAGAAGAUAAUGACGGUAUCAUAGGAGGAAGCCCCGGCUAAAUACGUGCCAGCAGCCGCGGUAAUACGUAUGGGGCGAGCGUUGUCCGGAAUUAUUGGGCGUAAAGGGUACGUAGGCGGUUUUUUAAGUCAGGUGUGAAAGCGUGAGGCUUAACCCUCAUUAAGCACUUGAAACUGGAAGACUUUGAGUGAAGGAGAGGAAAGUGGAAUUCCUAGUGUAGCGGUGNAAAUGCGUAGAUAUUAGGAGGAAUACCGGUGGCGAANGCGACUUUCUGGGACUUUUACUGACGCUCAGGUACGAAAGCGUGGGNGAGCAAACAGG